UCCGGGUUGGACCCGGCGGUCCCGCCAGACAUGGUAACUGGCAGCGAGGGUUGCGCUCGUUGCGGGACCUAACCCAACAUCUCACGACACGAGCUGACGACAGCCAUGCAGCACCUGUGCAUCAGCCCCGAAGGGAAAACAGCUUUCACUGCCGGUCUAAUGCAUGUCAAACCCAGGUAAGGUUCUUCGCGUUGCGUCGAAUUAAACCACAUGCUCCACCGCUUGUGCGGGCCCCCGUCAAUUCGUUUGAGUUUCAGCCUUGCGACCGUACUCCCCAGGCGGGGCACUUACUGCGUUAGCGCCGGCACCGACGGGAUGUAUACCGCCGACACCUAGUGCCCAUCGUUUACAGCGUGGACUAC
rnacentral:misc_RNA from 1 species